UGUAUAUAUAUAUACUAUAAAUAUAUGUUGUUUUUGUAACAGGAUCUGCAUGUUAACAUCAUAAACGAAAGUACUUAAACAAUACCGGAAACAAUAAAGAUGCCGAUGGAGAUCAUCUGCCACUCAUAACAAAGUUUCACCGAUUUAAGUUUUCUAUAAGAGAGUUAAAGAUCAUGGCAAAUUUAACAGACGAGUUCACAACUAACCUUGAUGUAAAAAGCACAGAAAGUCUCGAUAAACGAUUACUUUUCCUAAUGGACAAAGCAGCAAAGAAAGUCAAAGAAGUAGCGCCUAUUAUUGAUUAUGUUCAUCAGAAAGUUGCAGAUUACAGAAAGCAGAGACCUUACGAUACAGUAACAGUUGUCGGUAGUGUAGGUAACGAGCUUUACGUCCCUGAGAUCAUGCCAGACGGUUCAUAUUUGAUAGAGGUAGAUGUGUUGUAUAACAGAGAAAUGCCAAAUGCUAUCCUUCCCAUUUAUAUGCCUCCUGAAGAGGUUCUGUAUACCAGGGAAAAACCGAGUGUUGACAUGCCUACUGAAAAGCCGCCUGUAAUUACCGUUAAGAUGGAUUUCAUGAAUGACGAAAACAAAAUAGUGACAUUGCCAAUAGGGGCAUGCUUAGUAGAGGUUACCGGUAACAUUGAUGAAGUGGAAAAAGGUCAGAGGUGGAAAUUUUUCAAAGAACUUUGGAAUGGUAAAACUUACUUGAAAUCUUUAGGAUAUACAUGCUUAAUUCCACGACAGGAAGAUCCGAGUAUUUUAGGCGAGAUUGAAAUUGAACCAUUGGAAAAGGCCAAAAUUUUGCAGUUGUAUAGGACAUGUAGAACUGAGAUGGAUACUAUGCUUGUUGAUGGAAGAGAGCUUAAAUUUAGAAUUUUGGUUGACAAAGUUUCUGCUCUUAUAGGUCCUUGACCUAAUAUGCUGUCAGAUUUCAAGAGCCGCUCGAGAAAAUGGCCAGAAACAAAGAUAGUAGAAAGUAUUGUCCAGGAUGGUUGCUUGUUGACACACAAGACAUCACUGCAGGUUUAUCCUUUGCAGUGGAAAAUUACAUUUUCGCUAGCAGAACAACAACUGACAAAAACUUUUUCAUUUCAUCAGAAAUAUUUGUUCAUAUUGCUCAAACAAGUGAAGAAGAAAUAUCUGGACAUGGGAUUAAUGGAAAAUGGAGUACCGAUUGUCGGUUUAACAUCAUACCACUUGAAGACAAUUUAUCUAUGGAUGUGUGAAGACAUUGAUCCUCAACAGUUUAUUCAGCAUCCCGGUUUAUGCUUUUUAGUAUUUCUAAACAAGUUGAAGAAAUGCAUUGAAUUUUACGACUGUCCGCACUUUUUCAUUUCGUCAUUAAAUGUCAUGGAAGGACUUAAACGAUAUAAGAGACCGGCUACAAAGGAAGAAAUUGAAGUAUGGAGGCAUAAGCGGAAAAUGCUCCAAAACAUUACACUCCGACAAAUUAGUAUUCUAAUGCAGAAGCCUGAAAAUUUCUUGACCGACGAUAUUCUUGAUGAAAUAGAUGAAACUCAUAUACAUCUGUUACAAAGGACAAUCGGAGAUGAACAAUAGUGUCUUUACUAUCGAAGAAAUGUACGAAGGUGAAAAGAAAUUGAAAGGUGCUAAAUAUGAACAAAAUUAUUUAAUUCAAAUCGUGAAUUUAUUUAUUCUAAAUGGGUUUUUUUAUUUUCAAAUAUCACAAUUGAUAAUUCUUUUUUCUUUGUUUUUUUUUUUUAACUUAUUGUGAUGGCAGUUAAAGUGCGAAUAACGAAUAAUAAAUGUGCUUGUUCACACUAUACGGACUUCAUUGGCACGGAUGUGCUGCUAUUCAUACUGCUCUAACAGAGUUCUAGACAAAUGAAUUAGUCGCUACAAACGUUUUACAGUGAACACGAAUUCGUCAAUUGACUAGUUGCAUGUUUUCGCUGUCUAUUCUAAAUACAUGAAUAUUUUUCUUA